GCCCGCCUAGCUCAAUCGGAUAGAGCGUCAGACUCUUACUUAGGCGGGUGCAUCUGAAGGCUGCGAGUUCGACCCUCGCGGUGGGCU
rfam:Termitomyces sp. J132 unplaced genomic scaffold scaffold166, whole genome shotgun sequence.